CAGCCGCCACGGUAAUACGUAGGGUGCAAGCGUUAAUCGGAAUUACUGGGCGUAAAGCGUGCGCAGGCGGUUCGCUAAGACAGAUGUGAAAUCCCCGGGCUUAACCUGGGAACUGCAUUUGUGACUGGCGGGCUAGAGUAUGGCAGAGGGGGGCAGAAUUCCACGUGUAGCAGUGAAAUGCGUAGAGAUGUGGAGGAAUACCGAUGGCGAAGGCAGCCCCCUGGGCCAAUACUGACGCUCAUGCACGAAAGCGUGGGGAGCAAACAGGAUUAGAUACCCCUGUAGUCCCUGUCUCUUAUAC
rnacentral:rRNA from 1 species